GAACGUACGCUGGCGGCACGCCUAACACAUGCAAGUCGAACGAAGUAGCAAUACUUAGUGGCAGACGGGUGAGUAACAUGUAGGUAUCUGCCCUUUGGCCUGGAAUAACACGAGGAAACUUGUGCUAAUACCGGAUAAGUCUUUACGGAGAAAGCUUUAUGCACCAUUGGAUGAGCCUGCACUUGAUUAGUUUGUUGGUGGGGUAAUGGCCUACCAAGACUGUGAUCAAUAGCUGAUUUGAGAGGAUGAUCAGCCACAUUGGGACUGAGACACGGCCCAAACUCCUACGGGAGGCAGCAGUGGGGAAUCUUGCACAAUGGAGGAAACUCUGAUGCAGCGAUGCCGCGUGAGUGAAGAAGGCCCUUGGGUUGUAAAGCUCUUUCGUCGGGGAAGAAAAUGACUGUACCCGAAUAAGAAGGUCCGGCUAACUUCGUGCCAGCAGCCGCGGUAAUACGAAGGGACCUAGCGUAGUUCGGAAUUACUGGGCUUAAAGAGUUCGUAGGUGGUUGAAAAAGUUAGUGGUGAAAUCCCAGAGCUUAACUCUGGAACUGCCAUUAAAACUUUUCAGCUAGAGUAUGAUAGAGGAAAGCAGAAUUUCUAGUGUAGAGGUGAAAUUCGUAGAUAUUAGAAAGAAUACCAAUUGCGAAGGCAGCUUUCUGGAUCAUUACUGACACUGAGGAACGAAAGCAUGGGUAGCGAAGAGGAUUAGAUACCCUCGUAGUCCAUGCCGUAAACGAUGUGUGUUAGACGUUGGAAAUUUAUUUUCAGUGUCGCAGGGAAACCGAUAAACACACCGCCUGGGGAGUACGACCGCAAGGUUAAAACUCAAAUGAAUUGACGGGGACCCGCACAAGUAGUGGAGCAUGUGGUUUAAUUCGAAGAUACGCGCAGAACCUUACCAACACUUGACAUGUUCGUCGCGACUCUAAGAGAUUAGAGUUUUCGGUUCGGCCGGACGAAACACAGGUGCUGCAUGGCUGUCGUCAGCUCGUGUCGUGAGAUGUUGGGUUAAGUCCCGCAACGAGCGCAACCCUCACUUUUAGUUGCCAUCAUUAAGUUGGGCACUCUGAAAGAACUGCCAGUGAUAAGCUGGAGGAAGGUGGGGAUGACGUCAAGUCCUCAUGGCCCUUACGUGUUGGGCUACACACGUGCUACAAUGGUAUCUACAACAGGAAGCAAGACUGCGAAGUUAAGCAAAUCCCUAAAAGAUACCUCAGUUCGGAUUGCACUCUGCAACUCGAGUGCAUGAAGCUGGAAUUACUAGUAAUCGUGGAUCAGCGUGCCACGGUGAAUGCGUUCCCGGGUCUUGUACUCACUG
rnacentral:rRNA from 1 species